rnacentral:rRNA from 1 species
AUUGAACGCUGGCGGCAGGCCUAACACAUGCAAGUCGAACGAGUGGCGGACGGGUGAGUAAUGUCUGGGAAACUGCCUGAUGGAGGGGGAUAACGACUGGAAACGGUAGCUAAUACCGCAUACCAUCGGAUGUGCCCAGAUGGGAUGAGCUAGUAGGCGGGGUAACGGCUCACCAAGGCGACGAUCCCUAGCUGGUCUGAGAGGAUGACCAGCCACACUGGGACUGAGACACGGUCCAGACGCCUACGGGAGGCAGCAGUGGGGAAUAUUGCACAAUGGGCGCAAGCCUGAUGCAGCCAUGCCGCGUGUAUGAAGAAGGCCUUCGGGUUGUAAAGUACUUUCAGCGGGGAGGCGUUACCCGAAGAAGAAGCACCGGCUAACUCCGUGCCAGCAGCCGCGGUAAUUC